GUUUSCGCAAUCWGGGACGAAUAGCUCAGUAAAACUGCGAUGAUGAGAAGGCUGUGUAGAUAACUACGUGAAAAUGUAGCUAAGGGAAGGCAGAAUAAGACGCRGGACUAUCAGUUAGUUGGUAGUGUAAUGGACUACCAAGACAGUGACGGUUGACGGGAAAUUAGGGUUUUGUACCGGAGAGGGAGCCUGAGAGAUUGCUCCCACGUCCAAGGACGGCAGCAGGCGCGAAAAUUGCCCACUCUUUGCAGGAGGCAGUUAUGAGACGUGAAGAUGAGUAUCUUGUAAAGAGGGAUAGGAGAAUUGGAGGGCAAGUUUGGUGCCAGCAGCCGCGGUAAUACCGACUCCAAGAGUGUGUAUGARAGAUGCUGCAGUUAARAAGUCCGUAGUCAUAGAAGGGCAAAGAGAGAUGCGAGGUCUCACAGUGCGAUGAUGGAGGAGCCGAUKGGGAACAUAGUAUACCAGGGCGAGAGAUGAAAUGCCAAGACCCCUGGWGGACUGAGCGAGGCGAAGSYAAUGUUCUUGUAGGCMUUCGGGUGAUCAAGGACCGAAAGGCUGGAGUWAUCGAAAGUGAUUAGAUACCGCAGUAGUUCCAGCAGUWAAAAGAUGCCGACAUUGCUUCMWUUGGACACCAGUGGGCAGGGAGGAAAUCSUKAGAGGUUCGGGCCUCCUKGGGGAUARGWAUGCUCSCCAAAGGGUKAAAAAAUUWAAAGAAAAUUUGACGGGARCCUACACCCRCAAGGGAGUUGRAUUUGSUGCCGSCUUUAAUUUUGAYUUCAACGCRAGGRAAACUUUACCARGGCCAAGUAUUUGKKGUARRAAACCG
rnacentral:rRNA from 1 species